AAUCAACGCUGGCGGCGUGCCUCAGACAUGCAAGUCGAACGAUUAAGGCUCUCUUCGGAGAGUGCGUAAAGUGGCGCACGGGUGAGUAACACGUAAGUAAUCUACCUUCGAGUGGGGAAUAACGUCCGGAAACGGACGCUAAUACCGCAUAAUGCAGCGGCACCUAAUGGUGACAGUUGUUAAAGAAUUUAUUCGCUUGAAGAGGAGCUUGCGGCAGAUUAGCUAGUUGGUAAGGUAAUGGCUUACCAAGGCUUCGAUCUGUAACCGGUCUAAGAGGACGGUCGGUCACACUGACACUGAAUAACGGGUCAGACUCCUACGGGAGGCAGCAGUCGGGAAUGUUGGGCAAUGGGCGAAAGCCUGACCCAGCAACGCCGCGUGAAGGAUGAAGUAUUUCGGUAUGUAAACUUCGAAAGAAUGGGAAGAAUCAAUGACGGUACCAUUUAUAAGGUCCGGCUAACUACGUGCCAGCCGCCGCGGUAA
rnacentral:rRNA from 1 species